rnacentral:lncRNA from 1 species
GUCACGGGUGGGGCGCUGCCCCCCCGUGUUGAGUUCUCGGCUGUCCUCUGCCCCAGUUUCCCUCUCUGGAAACUCUGUCUGGUUUCUGGAACCGUCCCCAGCAGGUAGGACGGAUGCAGGUGUGCCCAAACGGCAGUUUCUUCCUAAGGAGCUCUUUCGGGUCAACUCUGGAGGCCUUGACUUGGGAGGCAGAUGGAGGAGGCUUGAUCCCUCUCAGCAUGGCAGCCGUGGUGCCAAGGAGGCAUGAGGAGGUGAGAGAUGGAAAGAAUGCUGUCUGUCAUUUGGAGUCAGAAGGAAAAGAAGGUUGAGGGUCUGCCAGCUCUGCUCUAGUGGUUUUUUCCUGUUUCACCUUUUACAAAAUCGAGAUAAUCGUUUCUACUUGGUAGCGAUAUUGUGAGGUGUAAAAUGGAUUAAUACAUGCAAAAUGCUUAAAGCAACUUCUGGCAUACGGUGAUCUCUCAACCAAUCCAUUGUUAUUUUAUUAUUAUUAUUUUUGUAAGACAGAGUUUUGCUUUUGUUACCCAGGCUGGAGUGCAAUGGUGUGAUCUCGGCUCACUGCAACCUCUGUUUCCCGGAUUCAAGCGAUUUUCCUCCUCCUGAGUAGCUGAGAUUACAGGUGCCCACCACCACACCCAGCUAAUUUUUUGUUUUGUUUUGUUUUUUGUUUUUUUUGAGAUGGAGUCUCGCUCUGUUGCCCAGGCUGGAGUGCAGUGGCACGAUCUCGGCU